rnacentral:lncRNA from 1 species
AUUUAUACAAAAAAGUUCACUUUAUAAUGUAGUUUUUAUUGACAAAACCUUGCUAGCAUUAAAGAAAAGUUAUUCUGAAAGUAUCAUUUGGUACAAAUAAUGUAUGUUUGUGUUGCUUUUUUUAACGUUAUUUGUACUUAUCUCCCAUGCCUAUCAAAUUUGCACUUAAAACCACUUUUCUCAUCCUAGCAUUGAAAAGAUAUCUCAGUUCCAUUAAUAGGGCUGAAUAAUAUAAUUUAUUUGGCUUUUGGUAUAAUGCAGAGUGCACAAAGACUCUAAUAAUAAAAAAAUAACAUGCACUCAUAUGGACCC